CGGGCUUAUGCCUACUGAACUAUAUUCGAAACUAUCAGAGUGUAUAGCAGAUUAGAGCAGAUUACAGCAGCCUUAAAGAUUGUUGGCCAUUAACGGUUAUCCAUGGCACUAAAACUACUUGAUCUCAAUACAUUCACCUCACAACACUUGUUGGCGAAAACAUGUGCUAUAGCACCAAAGAAGUUGAGGUCAAAUUAAUGAGAUGCCGCAGCAAAGAAAAUGCUCUCAGCCUUGGACGAUCCAUUCACUCGAUUCUUGAAACCAUUACCUUUUCUGAAGCAAGACUAGCUAGCACCCAAGGUGCCCUGGCAGGUGUAGGUUUAUCCAUUGGCUACCCGUUGGAGCAUCACUUGCGGUGCUCUUUGUAAUGUCACUUGGUGGGUUUUGUAGAAAUGACUGUCUAGAGACGUUUUAUCUUGAUAAUUGACAACAUAAGAGUGCAAAAUAUUUGACAGCAGAUCGCUUAUGGUAAGACCUAGCUAUUAUCAAUAAUUUUAGUCCAUUAAAUGCGGUCUUAGUGAAAGGGUGUUCCUUUAUCAUGGUUGAAGGUUGCAUGACUUCUGCUAGGUGUUUUGAUACUUUUCGGUCUCUACUUGAAUGUUGCGUACCUAAUUUUUUAGUGGCCAACAAUCUUGCACUGAUUCUUGCUAGGGGUCAUCAAGGAAACUCAAUAGAUGGCUAUUUCAGUGGAGAUUAUACCAGAGAUGUUGUUUUGAAAGUAUAUGCCAGGAGAGAAAGAUAUACUUGAAACCCGAUGAGGUCAAUGAUGUGGAGAUUUUACCAGAGAUGUUGUUUUCAAGUAAGAUUUUGUGUG